rnacentral:lncRNA from 1 species
UAGUACCUAAAAUAAACCCACACUGCGGGAGGCAGAGCUAAGACAGAGAAAAAUGGAAUUCUGAAGAUAUUAUUAGAGCUGCUAUCAAUCUGGCCCUAGCCCCGAACUUUUCAAUUACUUGGGCCAAUAGAUUUUCUCCUCCCACCCCAUCUUCUUGGCUGAAGCCAGUUUGAAUUAGUUUUUGUCUUUUGCCACCAACACUGAAAGAGUUUUGAUAUAGAGACGGAUGAAAAGACAGCAUUCCUGAUCCUGAGGCGGCAGACGUAAACUCAAGUGUGAGAAAUUGUUGGGAAGAUUGAAAGAGCAGAUUCGAGGAGGCUAUGCUUCAAGAGCAGCUUUCCAGAACCACACCACAGGACUGGCUGCUUCUGGGCCCCACAGCCACGAUGCCUCUGCACCAAUCAGGAAGCUGCUGGUUUUAGAAUAACCAAAUGUCUCCACCCGUGUUUGCCAGUAAAAUCAUCUCCCUAUGCCUGGUUUCCUCCUCAUCAGGCUUCAUUUUUCCUUCCAUGUUUUGUGAGGAGUCUGUCAUUACUUUUUGCCAUUAAAAGUAAUGGCAAAAUCCGCAAUUACUUUUGCACCAGCCUACUACCUUCCCAAGAGGGGACCUAGCUGUCUGGGAGUCUGGGAAAUGUAGUUUUUAGCUUUCAAGAUUUUAUUACAUAGGAAGAAGGUUAGGAUGAAUGUUGAGUAAACCAAUCUGCAAUAUUUAGCCCAGUAUUUAUUUUAUUUUAUUUUAUUUUUCUGAGACAGGGUCUCAUUCCCAUCAUCCAAGAUAAAGGGCAGUGGUGCAAUCACAGUUCACUGCAGCCUUGACUUCCCAGGCUCAGGUGAUCCUCCUAUCUCAGCCUCCUGAGUAGCCAGGACUAUAGCUGCAUGCUACCACAUUUGGCUAAUUAUAUAUAUAAUAGCAAAUAUAAAUAUAUAGUAAAACUAAAUGUAAUAUACACAUUUAGUAAAUACAGGGUUUUGCCAUGUUGCCCUGGCUAGUCUUGAACUCCUGGGCUCAAGCAUCCUGUCUGCCUCUGCCUACCAAAGUGCUGGGAUUACAGGCAUGAGCUACUAUGCCUGGCCCAUUGCCCAGUAUUUUAUUCUGAUCAUAUAAUCUACACGUUUGCCAUUUUCAGUAACCACACAUUUAUUCUUUAUAAAUUCAUUCAUUCAUUCAGUCAGUCAGUCAGUCACUCAUCAAGUGUCAGGCAGCAUGCUAGGUGCUAUGUAUCAAAGAUGAUGAAGUUAAUGUCUGCGUGGGUGGUGGAAUUUCAGAAGAUGAGGGCCAAUAGCAAAGCCAAUUGUGGAGUACUGGAGGGUGCUGACAGCCACUUCUCAUGGCCAAUCUGUUAUUUCCAUGGAAGAUUGCAGUCUCCAUGUGGUCAGAUCCCCCCACAGUCAAGCGAAGCCAAAGUCUAAAAUUUCAUGCAAAUUCUUUUUUUUUUCUUGUAACACAGAUUGUAUUUAUUUGUAGAGACAGGGUCUUGCUAUGUUUCCCAGGCUACUUUCAAACUCCUGGCCUUAAGUGAUCCUCCCACCUUAGCCUCCCAAAGUGCUAGAAAUACAUGAAUUCUUCAGAUCCUUAAAAAUCAAUGGUUCUUAAUACUAGCUGGACGUCAGGAUAACCAGGGUAUCUUUUAAAAAUUACUGAUGUCUACCCCAGCCUAAUCAUGAAAAAAACAUUAAACAAAUCCCAAAUGAGAGGCAUUGUACAAACACCUGACCAGCACUCCCCAAGACUGUCUUGAUCAUCAAAUCCAAGGUAAGUCUGAGAAACUAUGAUGACCAAGAAGAGCCCAAGGAGACACACCAGAUAAAUAGAAUGUGGUGUCCUAGAUGGGAUACUGGAACAGAAAAGAUCAUCAGGGAAGAACUGAGGAAAUCUGAAUAA